rnacentral:lncRNA from 1 species
GACAUUUCCUCUAAUCAUUUACUCUAUGGCUGAUGGAGUGGCGCAUGAGAUCCACCAUACGGAGAGAGCAGCCACUAGACUUAGCUGGUUAAUGGAGAGAGCAGCCACUAGACUUAGCUGGUUAAUGGAGAGAGCAGCCACUAGACUUAGCUGAUGUCAAGGAGGAUGGAGGAGAUCAAGCGAGCACUUGAGCUGUCAACCGAGUUGGCAGUUAGGAAUCCAGGCAGAGCUACAGAGGAUCCUGGCCCUGAGGCACCAACCGAGUUGGCAGUUAGGAAUCCAGGCAGAGCUUACAGAGGAUCCUGGCCCUGAGGCACCAACUCUCGGGGCUCAGUGGACUGAAUGAGGAGUUAGGAACUCAGGGACUUUCUAGGACUGCACAGGUAGAACGAAAGAGGUUUCCAGGAGGAAGUGGGAGGCUGGGGAGACGGUGUGAACAGGAACCCUUCGUGACCUGACCCAGAAGCUUCUCUGUGAGCUCUGGUGCUUUUGGGGUCACAUAACUGUGGCACCUCAUCCAUCCUAGCACGAGACCUGCCCUGAACUGAGUCCCAGUGUGGGAAUCCACUUCCACAAGCGAGUGACCGUCAAGCAGGCACCUCGACGCCUCUUUAGCCCUCUGCCUCUAUUUGUGUCGUCAGGCCUGAGGUAACAGGAGAGGUCCGACCAGAGCCUGGACUUUAGCUGCCCACCCUAUGCCUACGGUGACCCUUUGAGGACUGCCAUCGGGCCUCCCUCUGCUCAUUUCCCCGGGAGGUGGAGAGGACAGGUUUAUUGCUUCAAGUUCAGUGGUACGGUCUGGGCUCUGGCUCCUAUGAGUCUUUGUGAAUCUGUGAAGGGUUCUCCAUGUGCAUGUCUGAGGUGACUCUUAAAUGGAUUAGGAAGUCGUAUCUCGGUGUGUAAGAGAAAGCUAUCGCACAUUUAAGGGUCUGUGUUUGCUCCUGAGCUUCAAGGCAGGAGAGCAGAGCAUGUUACCCCACCUGGUUCCUUUCUUAAGCAGACAUCACGAAGGAAACCUUGACAUUGGACCUGUCUCAAAGCUGGCACACUCUGUCUUUCUGCCAUUAUUUCGUUCGACUAGGAAUCCUUUGAGAGCUAGAAGGACUAGAAGCCCAGUUCUGCGAUCAGCUUCCUGAGACAAACAAGCUCAAAACUUUGUUCUAUGUAAGUUGGAACUUUCAGAGAAUAAUUAUCACGUGGAUGGCUUUUUUUUAAUGCAAAAGAAAAAGAUCUCAAAAUACUGUAUUUAUAUCUGCCUUCUACCGCCUCCCACACAGCGAGCAUCUCAGCCAACAACAGACAGCAGCAAUGUGGUACACAGAGUAUUUUGCACUUGGGGGAAAAAUAUGUAUCUGAACUUGUAAAAAGGAAUGUUUGGAUUUUGUAUUGUCUUUUUUAUAUUAUUAAAAUACUAAAUGAAACUCCG